rnacentral:SRP_RNA from 1 species
GUUGGGUGCGGUGGCACAUGCCUGUAGUCCCAGCUACUCGGGAGGCUGAGGUGGGAGGAUCACUUGAGCCCAGGAGUUCUGGGCUGUAGUGCGUGCACUAUGCCGAUCAGGUGUCUGCACUAAGUUCGGCAUCAAUACGGUGGCCUCCCAGGAGCCGGGGACCACCAGGUUGCCUAAGGAGGGGUGAACUGGCCCAGGUCAGAAAUGGAGCAGGUCAAAACUCCCAUGCUGAUCAGUAGUGGGAUCGUGCCUGUGAAUAGCCACUGCACUCCAGCCUGGGCAACAUAGCAAGACCACGUCUCU